rnacentral:tRNA from 1 species
GCGGGAAUAGCUCAGUUGGUAGAGCGCAACCUUGCCAAGGUUGAGGUCGCGAGUUCGAGCUUGUUCUUGGCU